rnacentral:lncRNA from 12 species
GAGUUUAUGUUAAUGUUUUUAGCUCUGAAGACUCUGCCGUAGAACUUUGGAUUCUGACGUUCUAAGAUUGCUUCACUAUUAAAGAGAUGUGUGAACUCGGCUUCAAUGGAGCGCUCUGGGUUGGUGUUGGCUGGGCCACCAGAACUGGGCAACAGUUCUUUUGUAUCCCACCUCCCUCUGGAAAACUCAGCGGGCGUGCCACCAACCCCGGCUGCCCAGCUGACUCAUCCACCUUGGGAAGGCGGACGGGUUGGCCUUGAACGCCAGCCUCUGCCAGCCCCUCUGGCCCCUGCUGGUCCACGUGCGACAUUCCACUCCACUUUCUCCCACCAGCUGUCCACGGAAUGCCGUCCACGCCGGCUCCCACUGUGUGUGGCUGGCCUGCUGUGCGCGCCAGAAAUCUCCCAGCUCCAGAAUGGAUGGAGAGGACCCCCCCUCGUUUUACCAAUGGAGAAACUGAGACCCAGAAAGGGAAGGAGACUGCCAGGUCCUAUACAGGGCAACAGAGCCUGUUUUCAAAACCUGGCGUCAGAAGCCAGGUGAGUACGGUGCUUUUGUAUCCGUUAGCCUUCGCCAACAACCAGGCACACGCGUGCCCAGGCUUUCCAUCUGCAAAUGCAGCGGAGCCUUGGAGCCAGUAAUGGGCAGAGCUGGCCGGUCUUCAGAAGAUCCCACCUUGCUCGGCUGCAGCUGGCAGGGUUAGGGCCCAGACCUCCCCAGGAGCAUCCUCUAGGCUCGGCUGAAGCAGGCCUCCCCCACGGCUGGCUGCAGCCUUCCAGGUGUGUGCGGAGCCCCUCCUGCUGCCCCCGCCCCGUCUGGCUUCUCAGCUCAGGCCCAGCUGGAGCAGUUGUGGCUGCGGCCAGCGCUGCUCCACUCACCUGCCAGCUCCAUCUGGGGGCUGACGUGGCCUGAGCCGGGCGCUAUUCCCCCCAGCGUUCCCUGCUUAUUGAAACGCACAUGCCGUCCUCCUCUCCUGCACCAUGAAGAGGUUUGCUCGGCAGCACAGGCUCAAGCUGCUCGGGGAAGGGAGCAGGGAGGGAGAGGGGGCAUCCACAGGUUCCCAAAAUUAAUGUGCAACGAAACCUCAGCUCUGGCUCCCCGUAGGGGGGCUGGUUGGAGAGGCAGGUGGAUGCUAACAGGCUCUGAUCACCUAGUAAGGAGUCUUUAAAAAGCGAGCACCCACUGCUCCAUUGCUCUCCCUUCAAGGACGCAUGGGAAAAAUGCUAAGGGAAGACCUCUCCGGGUGGGGCUCUGGGUGCACGAACCAAGUCACUGUCACCAUGCCCACGGCUUAGUGAGCACUUCCUGGGUGCUCGAUCAGGCCUCCUCAUUCCUCCUUGCACUCACACCUGCUUCCUGCCCGUGCAUCUCUUCUGCCUUUAACACUGUCCCGCUCCUCAGGGACAGAGGUUUCUGAUUCUUUCCCCUGAUCUGUUGCAUAUUUGCUUCCAUAGGUACCUGCUUGGUUUGGGGCAUCCUCUGUUCCACGUGGUGAGUUUCGUUUUCCCGGGGGUGGCGACCCCAGGUACACACCUGGCAGACG